UAAAGCUGGCCCUUCCCUCACCAAGCCGCAGGGAACACAUGGAAGAGCAAGGUUCGUGCUGGCCGUGGGCAGUGCCGUCUUCGACGCCAUGUUCAACGGGGGGAUGGCCACCACCUCCACGGAGAUCGAGCUGCCCGACGUGGAGCCGGCCGCCUUCCUGGCGCUGCUCAAGUUUCUCUACUCGGAUGAGGUUCAGAUAGGACCCGAGACGGUCAUGACCACG
rnacentral:lncRNA from 1 species